rnacentral:rRNA from 1 species
GAUGAACGCUGGCGGCGUGCCUAAUACAUGCAAGUCGAGCGAACAGACGAGGAGCUUGCUCCUCUGACGUUAGCGGCGGACGGGUGAGUAACACGUGGAUAACCUACCUAUAAGACUGGGAUAACUUCGGGAAACCGGAGCUAAUACCGGAUAAUAUAUUGAACCGCAUGGUUCAAUAGUGAAAGACGGUUUUGCUCUCACUUAUAGAUGGAUCCGCGCCGCAUUAGCUAGUUGGUAAGGUAACGGCUUACCAAGGCGACGAUGCGUAGCCGACCUGAGAGGGUGAUCGGCCACACUGGAACUGAGACACGGUCCAGACUCCUACGGGAGGCAGCAGUAGGGAAUCUUCCGCAAAGGGCGAAAGCCUGACGGAGCAACGCCGCGUGAGUGAUGAAGGUCUUCGGAUCGUAAAACUCUGUUAUUAGGGAAGAACAAAUGUGUAAGUAACUAUGCACGUCUUGACGGUACCUAAUCAGAAAGCCACGGCUAACUACGUG